rnacentral:misc_RNA from 1 species
CAUAAAAAAGGAAGAGAUCCAGAAAUUUGCAGAAGUUCAAUUCAAUUCUCCGAAACCAUCAUCAUCUUGCUUAUUACAUGGGUACAAAGUAGAAACAUGAAAGAGCAAUCAAGAAAGAAAAGUUGAAAAGAAGAAAAACAGAAAUCAAAGGAUAGUACAAGAAGAUGAAGAGGACUGAGCAGCAUCAUUAGGAUUAUUGGGAUCGACGCCAGGCCAUCCAUUGCAAAGACAGUGUUGGCCCUGAGGGAUUCGCUUAUAAACAGAUCGGACAUGCCUCCCACAACCGCCCCAAGUCGUUUUGCCGCAACUCGAGCAUGUCACCUCGUAGCACAUCUUUCUUUGGGCGUCAGUUGCUUCUUCUUCUCUUCUUCUGAAGUGAAAUUUUCAGUUGUAAAUUUAUAGAGGCCGCAGACGAUAUAAACUAGGGGAACGCAGCAGUGUACGCGCUCUCGACAACGCCAGUCGCCAGCCAAUCUCCAGUGGUUGGUUGAUGGCGAAG